rnacentral:tRNA from 1 species
GGGGUUGUAGCUCAGUGGUAGAGUUCUCAUCUUGCAUGUGGAAGGCACUGGGUUCAAUCCUCAGCACCA